rnacentral:rRNA from 1 species
GAUGAACGCUAGCGGCAGGCCUAAUACAUGCAAGUCGAACGGAUAUAUGUUUUUCGGAAUAUAUAUUAGUGGCGCACGGGUGAGUAACACGUACAUAACUUGCCCUCAAGCGGGGGAUAGCCUUGGGAAACUGAGAGUAAUACCCCAUAGAAUUAUUGGACGGCAUCGUUUGAUAAUUAAAACUACGGUGCUUGGGGAUAGAUGUGCGUCUGAUUAGCUAGUUGGUGAGGUAACUGCUCACCAAGGCGACGAUCAGUAGGGGGCGUGAGAGCGUGGCCCCCCACACGGGUACUGAGACACGGACCCGACUCCUACGGGAGGCAGCAGUAAGGAUAUUGGUCAAUGGAGGGAACUCUGAACCAGCCAUGCCGCGUGAAGGAUGACGGCCCUCUGGGUUGUAAACUUCUUUUGGAUGGGGCGAAAAAACGGGAUUUAUGCUGAUCUAGACGGUACCAGAGG